GUUCUUCAUAAGGUGAUUAUUUGUUGAUUUAAUCAUUCACGUUUUUCAACUUAUAAGUCCACUAUAAAUUUUUGUUAAUUCCUUCUAAUUUCCAACUUUUUUUUUCUGUUCUUGAAAAUAUUGUUGUUCUUUAUGAGGUUCCACUACGAGAAGUUCCCACCACCUUCGGCAAGUCAACUAAUAUUCCGCGGGAGUUUGCAUGAGUAUCUUGAUGGGCAGCAUCCCUCCCAACAGAGGUUUUUUUUUCUAUAUAACGCACGAACCCAAGACCAUGGUUAAAGACCAAAAGCUCUUUAAACACUCACAUCAACCUCAGUUAGUGUUCGAUCUUUAAAUGAUACCUCAAGCGGUGACAACUUUGGAGAGGAAAGGAAGAUUGGCUGUCUUAAACUCUUGCUUAAAAGAGUGUUGACACAUCGUAUUCAUAUUAUGUGUGAUACUAAAGAUGAAUUAAGAUCACAUUUUUGUUUACUCGUGUAACAUUGGUUUCUAAUUUCACGAUACAUGCAUAUGCUUCCGUAAUUCACAGCACGGAGUAGUGUAUAUAUCAAUAUGUAAAACUGAUGAAAACAAAAAUAUGCAUAUUUCAUUGUUAAUGUUCUCAUG